ensembl:lncRNA
GGACCUUUAAAGUUACUAAACACACGUCUAGUCGGGUAAUGAAAUUGCGUUCACGCCUAUGUUGGUUUUGUUUCCGGAGGCUGCCGUGAGACCGACCACAUCUGACAUGAAGUAACGCAGCUUUAAAGUGCGAGAGCAUUGUGAACACAGCGGGGCUGCUUAAAAGCUAAUGGAGUGUUCUGAAAGAACCAGCUUGAGGGAAGCGAACACGGUCUUAAUAUUUCAUUCAUUGUUUAGCUCUCUACCGUGGCGCACGACCAAAGGAUUUGAAUUAUGCUUUGCAAGAUGAUGUUUCUUCUCCUGGUGGUUUUCUCCUUGAUCAAUUACCCUCUUGCUAAUUGUCAUCACAGCAGUGAUUCAGACAGUGAUGAGGGAAGCCGGAAAUCUCAUCAUUACAGCAGCGAGUCUGACAGUGAUGAGAGAGGCAAUCGUCACCCGUUACCUAAGUGGCCUUACUUCCCUGCCUGGCCGUUUCCUGGUCUGUGGCCGCUGCCACCACCAGCUCCUGCUACACCUCCACCCCCAACUCCAGCACCAACACCAAAACCAACAACAACAACAACAACAACAACAACAACAACAAAAACAACAAAAACAACAACAGUCACUCCUACCACUGAGCCACGAGGAGACAGCGGUUAAAUUGUACUGAUCUGAGAGCAGGAAUAACAGGCUGAGUGACUCAGUCAAAUGGAAAUGUAUGUGUUGAUUUUAUACAUUUCAUUUGUAUUUCAACAUGUUGCAAUGUUCGAACAAUGUGUUUUAUUAUGGGUUCCGCUACCUUUCCAUAUCCUCUUGCAUUUUUCAGUUGUCUACUUUCAUGCACUUUUAAUAUAUGUGUGGUCCUUUUUUUUAAUGCCACAGCCCAUCCAACAACCUAAAGAAUGUUGUGAUAUGUGUUUCAAAAGAUGUAAAAGAAACACCAGCACUUUUUUCAGGUUGUCAUUACGAGUUUUGUCUGAGGUUUGUCUGAGGAAGGCGUUGAAGACACCUGUGGGCGGUUGCUGUCGACACCCAGGUGCAUUAUCCACUCACUGGGCGCACACAUCACCAUCUGUGGAUCAACACAGCUUAAGAAAGGGCUGAGCACUGAGGCUUUAAUACAUGACUCUAUGCUUCAUCUGUCGCACUGUGCUUUCAUCAUGACUCGGCCAAUUCCUCCUCCUUGCUGCAUUUACCCACUUUAAUGUACACUUCAACAGUCCUCUCAGAAAUAUACACUAGUUGUUUAAAAGAGAUAUGUCAUGUUUUGUUUUCAUGUUUUUUGGCAAAAGAGUGAGUUUUGCACAGCUACUCUUAAGAAUGUAACUUUAUUUCCAAGUCUUUUCUAUUUUUAUUCCAGUCUUUUGUUUGUCGAUGUAAACCAGCCAUUCAACAGGCACAGGUUGGUGUGAAUCAUUGAGAACCAUGCACUGAAAAAGAAUGUUUUUUGAAAAUUUUGAAUGUUCAGGUUGUACUUUUCGGAUAAAACUCCUAAUCUGGUGGCUCCUGUCUGUCUGGCUUCUUUUUUACAUCUUCGAUCAAUCUGACUAACUCGCUAAAUUAAAAAUAAAAUACUGUGCUACAUCAAAUAAUAGUGAUUCAGAUCUCCGUCGGUAGCAUUACAUAAUUGAUGGGUUUUAUAUUGACUCAAGCCUCACAGCUGCGAGUAAGAGGGAUAUUCCAUCUGUUAAAUAACGGUUGGAUGUCCAUGGUUUCUCCUCACUUUGUGACGCAUGCUUCCCAUGAAUGAAAUCUCCAACAAUACAUUUACUCAGUGAGUCUUGGAUGAAAUGUAGCUCUUUGAUGGUAGAAAAACAUUAAGCUUUAAUCUUCUUCACUGCUGCGGCAUUUAUCCAUUUAACCUUUUCUGCAGUUGCAACCUACUUCAUGCAGCCAAUGUCUUCCCUAUUUUAACUGAUUGUUUCAACAUGUGGCUCUAGAAUAAAAAUGUUGUGCCACAUUCUUUUCUACCUUGUAGUAUUUUUCUGUUUUCGUUGCACAUUGCGUCUUUGGUUUGACCACAACCACAGCGGCGAGACACUGACACAUCAGCCGCACCCACAGGUGCUCUGAGUAAAACCACAGCCGCCGUAAGUCCGGA